rnacentral:rRNA from 1 species
AUUGAACGCUGGCGGCAUGCUUUACACAUGCAAGUCGAACGGCAGCACGGACUUCGGUCUGGUGGCGAGUGGCGAACGGGUGAGUAAUACAUCGGAACGUACCCAGUAAUGGGGGAUAACUAUCCGAAAGGAUAGCUAAUACCGCAUACGCCCUACGGGGGAAAGAGGGGGAUCGCAAGACCUCUUGUUAUUGGAGCGGCCGAUGGCUGAUUAGCUAGUUGGUAGGGUAAAGGCCUACCAAGGCAACGAUCAGUAGCGGGUCUUAGAGGACGAUCCGCCACACUGGAACUGAGACACGGUCCAGACUCCUACGGGAGGCAGCAGUGGGGAAUCUUGGACAAUGGGCGCAAGCCUGAUCCAGCAAUGCCGCGUGCGUGAAGAAGGCCUUCGGGUUGUAAAGCGCUUUUGUCAGGGAGCAAAUCCUUGUGGCUAAUACCCACCGGGGAUGAGAGUACCUGAAGAAUAAGGACCGGCUAACUACGUGCCAGCCGCCGCGGUAAUAC